rnacentral:rRNA from 1 species
AUUGAACGCUGGCGGAAUGCUUUACACAUGCAAGUCGAACGGCAGCACGGGGCAACCUGGUGGCGAGUGGCGAACGGGUGAGUAAUACAUCGGAACGUGCCCAAUCGUGGGGGAUAACGUAGCGAAAGUUACGCUAAUACCGCAUACGAUCUACGGAUGAAAGCGGGGGAUCGCAAGACCUCGCGCGAUUGGAGCGGCCGAUGUCAGAUUAGGUAGUUGGUGGGGUAAAGGCUCACCAAGCCAACGAUCUGUAGCUGGUCUGAGAGGACGACCAGCCACGCUGGGACUGAGACACGGCCCAGACUCCUACGGGAGGCAGCAGUGGGGAAUUUUGGACAAUGGGCGCAAGCCUGAUCCAGCCAUUCCGCGUGCAGGAUGAAGGCCUUCGGGUUGUAAACUGCUUUGUACGGAACGAAACGGUCCUUUCUAAUACAAGGGGCUAAUGACGGUACCGUAAGAAUAAGCACCGGCUAACUACGUG